AAAUUGUAUUUUGAAAUGCUUGUGGAAGUGCUUGAGAUAAGAUCUAUGCUAUAUAUAACUACGAUUAAAAAGUGGGAGGGAAUAUCAUGACUUGAAGUCAUGGCCUUUCAUAUAUCCUCAAUAAAUUUUACACAGAUUAUAAAUUAAUAAUAAUAGCUAUUAAGUAAAAUUUUAAAAUACUCAAUAUUUGUUUUCGAAUUUCUUAAAUCACUUUUCAACAGCUGUUCCUGCUUAGAGAUAAGUUUGUUGAUCAAAUCUUUCGUUUUUGUUUGUUUUUUCGACAAAUUAAGUUCAAAUACCAAUACUUGGAAAUAAUAUACAUGUUAGAGUGUUAUCUUUUUAACACACAUAUUUAAAUUGUACAUCAACAGUGAAAAAAACAGAAGCUCGAUAAACCAGCUGAUGCAGCACCAAUAGCAAAUUAAACAACAAAAAUGGAAAGAAUGAAUUAAUACGCUCGGCAACUAAAUAGCAAAUAAGUAAGUGAGUAACAAUAACAAAAACACGUUAAAUACUUGAACAAAAUCAAAAACAAUAAAAAAAAACAAGCAAUCAACAAAGGAAUAAUAGCAACAAUAGCAAGGGGGUUGACGACUAAAACGACGUCGAAGUUCCAACAACAAACCAUAUCAGAAGGUGCAGACUUUGCCCUAUGACUACACCAUAUAAGUAGAGAAUAAAACUGUAAAAACUACAGUAGUAUUAUUAAGAAAGGGGUUAAUAAAUAUUAAAACAAGAAAUAUUAUUUUAAAUUUAAUUUAAUUUAAAACACUCCCAAACCCUCUCCCACUUCCUAAACCCCGUACUUCAAACCCUCUCCUCUAUAAUUAUUUUUCUUAAUUUUUUAGUCAAAAUCUUAUACUUUCUUUUUAGCCAUAGACUACUGUAUUUCAAUAAGAACACGUAUAAAAUCGACUUUAGUGAAAAAAAAGUGGUUUUGUGUUUGGGACAUGAGUUUCAAAACAAAGAACCGAACACGUUCCAGUAAUAACAAUAUGAAAUGCAGCAACAAAAGUGGCCAACAAUGAUAACGGACUACGAUCGCCGAUCGCCGAUUCACGAUCCGAUUCAAUGCCCCGUAAAGUACAAGAAAAAUUCGAUAAUAACCCUAGAAGCAGAAUAUUUUUGGGAGCUGUUAUCACUCGAGAAUUUCAUAUUGGACUUUACUCGAAAGUGGUUCUCGAUACCCUUUGAGAAAUUUAAUAAAAACGGGUCUGAUGAGGUUGUAAUUAGUAUCUUAAAUAGUAAACUAUGUCUGGAUGUAAUAAAAAAAAACUUAGUUUAUGUUUAAUA